rnacentral:lncRNA from 1 species
AAGCAGAACAGUACUGUAUGGUAGGGAGAGAGUAGCUAGGCUGAGUGUUCUUGCGUGCAGGUCUGCAACUGGAGUAUUUUCUUUGUCUGAUCCUUGGCCGCUUUUUCAUCGAUCCAUGGCUGGUCGUUGCUUUCAGUCAUAGUCAUCUUGGCAAAAAAAAAAAUGGACAUCAUUGCUCAGAUAGACAGCGCGUUUGUCUGUUUGCUCUGGAGAAGGGAGGCAUGCCGCCGCAACAACAAGGUGGAAGAGCAAGGACC